rnacentral:rRNA from 1 species
GGGUGAGUAAUGUCUGGGAAACUGCCUGAUGGAGGGGGAUAACUACUGGAAACGGUAGCUAAUACCGCAUAACGUCGCAAGACCAAAGAGGGGGACCUUCGGGCCUCUUGCCAUCGGAUGUGCCCAGAUGGGAUUAGCUAGUAGGUGGGGUAACGGCUCACCUAGGCGACGAUCCCUAGCUGGUCUGAGAGGAUGACCAGCCACACUGGAACUGAGACACGGUCCAGACUCCUACGGGAGGCAGCAGUGGGGAAUAUUGCACAAUGGGCGCAAGCCUGAUGCAGCCAUGCCGCGUGUAUGAAGAAGGCCUUCGGGUUGUAAAGUAC